rnacentral:rRNA from 1 species
GAUGAACGCUGGCGGCGUGCCUAAUACAUGCAAGUCGAGCGAACAGGCGAGGAGCUUGCUCCUCUGACGUUAGCGGCGGACGGGUGAGUAACACGUGGAUAACCUACCUAUAAGACUGGGAUAACUUCGGGAAACCGGAGCUAAUACCGGAUAAUAUAUUGAACCGCAUGGUUCAAUAGUGAAAGACGGUUUUGCUGUCACUUAUAGAUGGAUCCGCGCCGCAUUAGCUAGUUGGUAAGGUAACGGCUUACCAAGGCAACGAUGCGUAGCCGACCUGAGAGGGUGAUCGGCCACACUGGAACUGAGACACGGUCCGGACUCCUACGGGAGGCAGCAGUAGGGAAUCUUCCGCAAUGGGCGAAAGCCUGACGGAGCAACGCCGCGUGAGUGAUGAAGGUCUUCGGAUCGUAAAACUCUGUUAUUAGGGAAGAACAAAUGUGUAAGUAACUAUGCACGUCUUGACGGUACCUAAUCAGAAAGCCACGGCUAACUACGUG